GACGAACGCUGGCGGCGCGCUUAACACAUGCAAGUCGAGCGAAGCGGCGGACGGGUGAGUAACACGUGAGUAACCUGCCUUAGACAUUGGGAUAGCCUCGGGAAACCGGGAUUAAUACCAAAUGGUCUAAGAUGGACUCGCGUCCCAUUAGCUAGUUGGUGGGUAACGGCCCACCAAGGCGACGCUGGGUAGCCGGCCUGGGAGGGUGAACGGCCACAUUGGAGCGGAGAAACGGUCCAAACUCUGCGGGAGGAAGCAGGGGGGAAUAGUGCACAAUGGAGGGAACUCUGAUGCAGCGACGCCGCGUGAAUGAAGAAGGCUAGCGAGUCGUAAAGUGCUUUUAUAUGGGAAGCGGUACCAUAAGAAAAAGCCCCGGCUAACUACGUGCCAGCAGCCGCGGUAAUUC
rnacentral:rRNA from 1 species